AGUGGGAUAGCUGGGUCAAACAGUAGUUCCAUAUUAAGUUUUCUAAGGAAUCUCCAUACUGCUUUCCAGAGUGCUUGCAACAAUUUGCAGUCCCACCAGCAAU
rnacentral:pre_miRNA from 1 species